rnacentral:lncRNA from 1 species
GCGGGACUCAAUAUGGCGGCGCGCGCUCGGCCGCUUGACCCCGGUGUCCCCUAAAGCGGGUAAGGGAUGAAACUUUCUCAUCUCGAGUCAUGCUGUUUUCGGAAACGUAGGGAUGCGUUUUAAUCCCUAUGCGCCACCCGCGGGUCGGCCCUCACCUGCGAGUCGGCUGACCGUGAAAGACCCUCACUUGCUGUGCACCGGAAGGGCUUGGUCUUCUUGGCCUCUGUUUCCCGGAAGUGGUUUCCCUCCACCUCCUCAGGAGGGCCGGCCUUCCCUAAGGGCGGAGUCUAGGGCUUCUUUGGGACUGAAUAUGCAUUAGCUUUUGGAAGUCCAGCUAUGAUUUUCCCCUAAGCAUUGUUACAAAGGCCGGACUGCGGCUCUGGGCACCGUUCACAUCCUCGGCCGCCUUUGGCUUUGUGACCUUGGGCCGGUUGUAUAAGCUCUCUGAGCUUCCCAGGUGACUUCUCUGCAAAGUGGGCUGGUAACGCCCGAGUUGGUGCUAAAUCCUAAAGUUCAUGCUGCGAACCGGUCCCUCAACAGAUCAGCCUCUGUUUGGUCUGCUGGCAGGCCCCACGGGCUCCUGAGAGACGUGAGAAGCAGCUUUGUAUGGGAGCCACCUCUGCUCGCGUUUCCACCCAGAAUCAAAGGACUGACCAUUCUUUCAAUCCCUAAGCGGUGUCUUUUCUAUCUAAUCCUAAUAACCAAGCCUGGAGGAAUUGUAGACUUUCUGGUUAAAGGUUCAACAGGUCUCCUCGUUUAAGGAUAGAGUUAAGUCUCAGUGAAGCUACAGAGGAGAAUCUGAAAAAUGCAAAUGUUACUACCUUAACCGAAAGAGGGAGGAGGGGGCGCUUUCCUAAAUGGCCUUUACCUUGGACCUUUUCUUUCUCCUGGCAUUUGGGCUGCCAAGGAUCUUGCUUCUGCCCCACCAACACACUGAAAGCAAGAGCUCUUGACGUGAUGACUAAGGAAUAGAAUUUGGUUUUCAUUCGGAGACAGCUGAUUCUGAAGCCAUCUUAAAGCCUAAGCAUAGCACAACUGCAUUCAUGAUUCUAUGAAUUCUUCCUACCAUUGGAACUUAGGGAAGGGGAGAGGAAGUGUGCAUCUAGGAAAUGUGGAAGGACACGCUCUUCCUUCUUUCAUCCUUCCGCUGCCUUCUAACUCUGUGGUCGAGUGUGGUCUUCCCAGGAGAGCAUCUUCCAGGAAACUUAUUAGAAAGGAAGAACCCCAGGCCUCAUUUCACAUCUGAAGCAGAGUCUGCCUUGUAGCCGACUCCUCAGCCAUUGCUAGGCAUGCUAAAGUUGACGAGGCCGUGGUUUAACUCCUGGGGUGGUCUGGUUUAAAGUGAUGAGAUGGCAUCAAAGAUGACGGAAGGACAGAGUCAGCAGAGCCAGAAUUUGGGGCAGUGGAGGCAGAGCACCUAUUUCCUGCAUUUGGGCACUGCCAGCAGGUUGAUUCAGAAGAUGGGUGAAAAAUUUGUUCCUGGGGUAGCAGGAGGAGCAUCACGACUUUGGAAUCGUUUGCUUAAAAGAAGGAUGAGCUUGGCUGUUCAUACCAUACAUCCCGGAGGUCUUCAGCAAGGUGAGGUUCCUCUGACCAAGAAGCCGGCUGCCUAGAUGCGCUAAGCACAGCUCCCUCGCAUAUUCUGGUGUCAUGCUCCAUCAUAAGUGACUAGACAUAGUUCCAGUGCUACCCAGCAGGAUCUCAUUGCUCAUGCAUUCCAAAGGCAAGAGUCUGCAUCUCAAAAAAUCAAAUACCUGGGAAUACACCUGACCAAGGAGCCCCCUUUCCACCAGUGUGAUUGGGGAGCCGAAAUGUCUGCACAGCACCGUCUCUAGCUCUUGAGAGUGUUCCGGGAAGAGUAACUGCCAUCCGUAUUUGCAGGAUGGAAAAAGAUGUAUCAGAGAUGCAAAGGCAGGUGAUCCUGGUGGCAGGAACUCUCCCCCAGGCCCCAGGUGGCUUCGGUAAAUAUCUAUAAAAGGAGUGUCUCGUGCAUGAACGAGGGACUCUUCACAAGCAAACACAGGUCCCUGACGGGGUGUGAGCCCUGUGGUUCUUCAUGAUCUGAAACACACCAUUCAUUCCAUGGAAAUAUCUGCCCUCUGACCUCUUUCAGGGCAACAGGAUUUCCCAGUUACAGACCUUGGAUUUGGAUAGGUAGGUUAUGAGUAAAGAUGACGGAAUGUUCUAUUUGGAAAGGACUUCAUUUGUCCAACCCAGCUGUCUGCCCGGUUGGGAGAUGGUCUGUCCAAAAACCCUCCGGAGACCUUCCUUCGAGAACGAGGAACGCCUUCGCCUCUGAGCCUGUUGCUUGCAGCUUUGAACAGAUUGAAAGCUCCUCCUUGCUCUGAAACAGCUCUCUCUCAAAUGCCCCUGCCUUACCUCUUGGGCUGUCGUUGCCACCUGCAACGUGAGAAGUUUUCUGAAUGAAACAACUUGUGUCAAAUGAGGAUGGUUACUGUGUCUCCAGGCCAGGCCUUUGCUGCAUUGCCUUUUCCUGCAUCUCGUUUCCAGCGGAGGGCAUCCUCUGCUCCAGCUGUUAGUUCACCCCUCAGAACAUCUGUCCAAAUGGUUAAUACUUGUGUCAACUGGCUUGAAGCGGAGAAUAGCACCCCCUGGAGAGUCUAAAGAUGAGGAGUGAGUGGCAGCUAGUACUUCUUUAUUCUUUUCCGAGUUCCUAGUUUCAUUAAUGAAGUCAGAAUUGCAUUAGCUUUUGAGACAGUAAUUACACUGUCGAUGUAUGCUGAACUCACGGUGAGGUAAUUUUUUCAAGUAACUUUAUAUACGACUCUCCCACAUCUAAUAUUUAUGGAUUUGACUUUUUAAAUGGUAAAUACAAGGCUUUGUACAUUUUACCUUUAUGUUAAAAUAAUGUCUAUGAGUAAAAUAAUGUUUUGGAAAAUCAAGUCAAAAAUUUAUACACAAUAUUAUGGGGAUAGAGUUAUUUAUCCUUUUUAUUGUUAUUUGGGGGUUUCUGUUAACAUUGAUAUAAUAUUUGGGCCCUCACAUUAAAAAAAAAAAAAUCAGAGAAUUCACAUUGUGGCUCAAAGGAUUAAGGACCCAACUUUGUCUCUGUGAGGUUGUGAUUCAAUCCCCGCCUUGCUCAGUGGGUUAAGGAUCUGGCAUUGCCGCAAGUUGGGGCAUAGGUCGAAUGUGGUUCGGAUUUGGUAAUUGCUGUGGCUGCGGGGAAGGCCUGCAGCUGCAGCUCUGAUUCAACCCCUGGCCCAGGAACUUCCAUAUGCCACUGGCACAGC